CCCUUAGAUGUUCUGGGCCGCACGCGCGCUACACUGGUGUGUUCAACAAGUCUGAUUUCCCUGCUUUCGAAAGGAGUGGGUAAUCUUCUAAACGCACACCGUGCUUGGGAUAGAUUUUUGCAAUUUUAAAUCUUCAACGAGGAAUCCCUUGUAUUUGCAAGUCAUCAACUUGCAGAGAAUACCGUCCCUGCCCUUUGUACACACCGCCCGUCGCUCCUACCGAUUUCGAGUGGUUCGGUGAACCUUUCGGACCGGCAAUGCCUCGUGUUGCGCCGGAAAGUCAAGUAAACCAUAUCACUUAGAGGAAGGAGAAGUCGUAACA
rnacentral:rRNA from 1 species